rnacentral:lncRNA from 1 species
CUGUUUGAGCAUCCUGGACCCUGGUUCGUCCCUGUUAAACUCAAAACUCUUUGCUCAUUUGUCAUUUGCCGGAGUAACUUGUACUGAGCGUUUACUACGCAUGUUUCCAGGUGACUCGGACAUCAUCACCACCGUUCCUCAGUGAAGACAAGCUUACCUAUCCUAGCCUAAGAUGAUGUAGUGUGGAGAGUCGUGCUUACAAGGUCGAUGGCCGUCUCUCGUUAUCGAGCCGGAGCUGCCAAAUGCAGUUUCAAACCAAACGUGGCUGUUUUUGUAAGGCAUUCCUAUGGGUUUUGUUUGAUGAGAUGUUUAUUCCUAUCGUCUUUUUACUGUGCGCAAUUGGAUGAUUAGUUCUGUCAACAUUGUUUUGCCUAUGCUCCUCCAGUGAAACGGAACUAUAACAACUAGAGUUGCUAAAGUGAAGAAUUGCGUGAAACUGGCUGGGUAAUGCUUGUGUGAUCUUUGCUUUCAGAGAUGCGUAAGGCGAUAGAACGGUUUUCGUUUAGCCAUGGUAGAGUAGACAUUGGUUUUGUUUGCGAUGAAACAAUAUCAUGAAGCCUGGCACGCUAAUUUCACUACCGCCAGAACAUUGCAAAGCUAAAGCUUCACCAAACUGACGAUGGUGAAUUUGUUACCGAGGCUUGUCUCUCUUGCCCAAAGAAAUACUCCCACAUGUGUGUUCCUUUCCUAUUUGUUGAUGAUGAUGCUGGGGCCCAUCUCGAUGCCGACCCAUUACCCGUUUGCCACGAGAUAUAUCCUCAACAAUAGUACAUGACCAGAUUUUUUCUUGAGACAUGCACAGGUGUAUGGCUGCUGGUCGAUUCCUAGAAUAGCAUCUGGUCCAAAGACGUACACAAUUCAGAUGGCCACAGCCGUCGGCCUCGGCCAUGUAUAGUCAUGCGUGGUGCUGCUCUGGUGUUUAUCUACAAGCUGACCAUUUCGGAUACAUAAGUUGUAAUCGUCAUCAGAGAAAGUAGUAUAUUCAUUCGUCUCUAGUAAGUGUACUUAGGAAAGGGAAAAAUCCGAACACAAUAUUAGAAGCCGGAUAAUAUCUAGCGUGGUAGAGUCGCUGAUGACAUAAAUUCUUGCUCCAAGCUAUAACAGUUUUGGCUUCUCUCGGAAGAUGAAUUUGAGCUUCCCACCUUCCGACCUGCAGUGGCUAAAGACCGAUGAGCAACUUGGCUUUGUACUGUCGACAGAGGUUGAAUGUCUUGGUCUUUUGCAGCAAGCUCGCGCAUUCUCAACCUCUCCAAUCGCAGAUGCUGCAAUUUCAUCUCGACUUGUUUCAUAGUAGGUCUUUCUUCACCUCGAAGACGUAAACAGAUCUCCGCAACACCGGCUACACCACUAAUCUCUUCCUCGGUUGCUUCCUCGAGAACGUGAGCAGCUACAAUUUCAGCAAGUGGUUUCUCCCUUAUCUCCCAAAGGAAGUAAUUGGAUAAGUUUUGCUUUAGCCCGGAGUCAGUGGUAAAAAUAGGCUCCUUUCGAAGGAGCAACUCCACAAGUACCGCACCAAAACUGUACACAUCACUCUUCUCAUUUAAAAUGCCAGUGUGAUAAUAUUCUGGAUCCAAGUACCCAAAUGUACCUUGUAUAUUCGUCAUAACAUGGGUCUGGUCAAUAGGAACCAACCUCGAAGCACCAAAGUCUGAUACCUUUGCUGUAUAAUUCCCAUCCAGGAGUAUGUUUGUCGACUUCACAUCACGAUGAAAGAUUGAUACAGAAGCAGCUGAAUGAAGGUAAGAAAGUGCUCCAGCUGCUUCUAUAGCAAUUCUUAAGCAAUCAUCCCACGACAAGGAAGAGUUGCUGUUUGGAUUAUGAAGAACACCAAAUAAUGAACCAUUAGGUAUGAAGUCAUACACCAAUAGUGGGACCUCAGUCUCAAGGCAACAUCCAAAGAGCUUCACAAUAUUUCGGUGGUUUAUCUGUGAGAGAAUAGCAACCUCGUUGAUGAACUGAGUAAUCUCAAUUUGUGCUAUGACUUUAGACUUUUUAAUGGCCACUACACGUUGAUCAGAUAAGAUGCCUUUGUAUACCAUGCCAUGCCCUCCGCGGCCAACUAUACGUGUAGGGUCAAAGUUAUUUGUUGCCUUCUCUAACUCUGCCAGUGAGAAAAUCUUGGUUGUGUCAUUUGCAUUUUCAUCUCCUGAAAUAAGCUGUUCCAGGAGAAGUCCUUGGUUCGUUCUAAAAUACUUCCUUCUAAGUUUCUUUUGGAUGCCUCUUUUCCAUCUCCGGACAAUAAAAUUUGCACUUAAGAUGAAGAGUAGAAUGCCAGAGGCAACGCUGAUCCCAAUAGCGAUACCUGCAAUGAGUAUGCUCUUCAGUAUUUUGUUAUCUUUCAUGUCAUCUAGCUCAUGAUAGGGAACCGAUUUUUAUCUUAUAUCUCACCUAGUGGAAGACUUUGCCCUUUCGUCGAUUUACACAUCAGUGUCUGGCACUCGUCAACGUCUGCAACCAACCGUACCAGUAUUGUCAAUUUGUCAUAGGGGAGUUGCAUCCAAAUCUGAACAUUUUACCAAAGCAGAUACAGUUAAGAAACAGAGAUUACCUUGACACCCAUUCGUGGUAUAUGGAUUCCCGUCGAAGCCUGUUACACAUGUGCAACGGUAACCAAGUGGGCCUCCUCUUUCAGAGUAAACAACGCCCAAGCAUGUACUAUUUGUGCUAACGCAUGCAUAUCCUGAUACGUUCUGUUGUGCUUCUUGGCAUGUUAAAUUUGCAACUGCCCAGUGCAGAGAAGCGGAUUGCCCGGAAGAACUAGAGCUGUACAGUUGAGGUCCUUCAGAUAUACUCAUCAUCCUGUCGUCAAAUGGUGUUUCGUAGUAAACAUCCAAUAGCCCCUCAUUAAUAUUUAUGUACUUCACAGUGGGCACGAUUAUUGUCGGACCGCUGUUGAAUUGCAGCGUAGACGUUGUAGGGUUUGUACAGUUGAGCUGAAAUAACUUCCUUCCAAAACAACCGUAUUCUAUGCCAAAGGGAAAAGGAACACUAAUAUUCCCACACAUCCUGGAGCAAUUAUUCCUCCGUUGAUACGGAUCGAAACCUUAGAAAGUAUAAGAAAAACUUCAGUGCAUUCGUCUUGAGUACAACUCUAAAAGAAAAUCUAAAGUUGUGCCAAAACAACUGGUCACAUGGUGAAGCCACUAGAUAUUUUCAACAAAAAGAAAGGAAGAAUGUGUGCGGUCACAUUGUUUUUGGGUCUAUUGACCGACCGAAACUAUGAUUAUAAUUUUGAUAUUCUUGUCUUAAACCUAUUUUAAAGACUAAACUAGACAUAAGAAAGUAACACUCUUGGGAAAAAAGGAAGAAGGUAUAACAAAUAGUCCCUCCGUAACUUGAUAUAAGAUGUUUUUUGAGACUAUCUCACAGUGUCAAAAAAUGUCUUAUAUUAAGUUAUAGAGGCCAUAUAGAUAAGGAAUGAAUGAAGAGUACUUUUAACAUGCUCCCUCUUACCCCUUCUUUUCAUAUGAGAGGUAAGAACGUAAGAGUAAAUCUGAUCACUACUUAAUCAAAUCAAGGGCUCAGAUCUAUUAUGGACUCUUACCUCUCAUGUGAAAAGGGGAAGUAAGAGGGAGCAUGAUAAAAUUUGCCAUGAAUAAAAUAAGCAAUUUAAGGCAAGAGACAUUGUUAACAAAGUUCAGAAACCCGACUGCACACGCUAUAAAACCACAAAUAUGUUUGAUACUUUGACCGGAGGUGGGAGUAAUUACCUCUAUCACGGGAGCAGCCAUCCAGUAUAUAGGGAUUGCCUUGGUAACCACUAUCGCAGAAACAGAGAUAGCCGAGAAAUGAUAACUCGUUGGACUGUGUAUAUCCGCUGUGGUUGCUGCGACAUGCAUAGUCUGACCUAUUUUGCAAGCUGCCGGCCGAUGAUUGUUGAUCGUCUCGUAUUACCCAGGACAGAGCAGCGUGAUCACUGGUUAUAUUAAUUGUAUCCCACAGGAGGCCACGGGUACUCUUUCCCUCCAGUUUCAGCUUCCCUAUCCUCCGACGGACAAAUCUGAAUUGGAGGCUGGUGACCAUGUUCUCGAUGACGACGGAGCAGCAUCCUGUACCGUUGCAGGUCUGUCUAGCCACCGCAUCCGUGAUGCCUUCUGUAGGGCAUGUCACUGUACAACUCCCCACCAUCGUGUUGGAGGAACGUUCGAGCAUGUAGGCGUCGAAGUUGCAGCCUGUUAUGUUGAGUAUGAUGACCGGAAGAAAAAGAAAAGAUUUCCCAGGAAACCAGGAUAUGUUGUACACGUCGGCGUCAGAUCUCAAGGAGAUGACAUGGGAAAAUGCUGCAAGAAAAUCCGUGUUCUGAUCUGUACCAGAGACAUCGGAGAUGAUCUCCGUGACUCCGUCUUGCAAGAAAAGCCUGGGAGCAGCAGCCUGCGCGGAGCUGUUCUCGACGCAGCGAAGGUCGAAGUCCGGCUGCCGGGAGCAGCCGGAUCCGAUGCCGAAAGGGUAGUCGAUGCUCAGGUUGCCACAACUCCUUGGACAAUCGGCGAGCGUGGCAGUGGAAGGAACCACCCUGUUCGCUUCUUGGCUUCUUUGUAAACCCACCGUUGUCGCCGGCCGGAGCAACAGCAGUGCGAGCACAAAGCGGAGUGCCUCGGGGAGCUUCAUCUUCACCGCAGAGUAUUUCGGUCUUGGGGAAACAGAUGCGUCUAUAGAAAGGCUAAUUUUUGAUUGGCAUGGCCUUUCAUGGUGUGCUUUAUGGAGAGUUUAUUCUUCCGCUCUAUCCUCACAAACACAGUACAAACACCGACGCUCACAAAUAUGUCCGUGGCCAGUUUAGGAUGCCGGGUUGGGUCACAUUUUUAUGACCGGAAACUGACCGGCUUCAUUCGGUUAGUUUGAGUGAAGCUGUAGAUGCUCUAGCAUUAGGUGUGUUGUCUAUACCGAGUCGGUUCGCGAGCCAAUUAGUGCAUAAGAGCCAAGGGACUUGACAUUAUUAGCUGUGUUUAAAUCAUUUUUUGAUCUUUGAAAGGAAAUUCUGCACAUAUAUUGUGUAAAUGUAGCGCACUAUGUUGGCAAAAAUGGAACGUGUAGCACAUUCAACCCAUAUUCUACAUUGUAGCACUUUUGUGGUUAUUUUUGAAAGAGCGGCACCAUCGCAAAAGUAAAUAAAAACAAAAACCGGAAAACAAAAACAAUGAGCCGCUCAGUCCUACUCCCUCCGUACCGGUGCAUAAGUCGAAAAAUCAAAUAAUCCCAAAACACUUAAACGCUGUGCGUUAAUUGCCACCUCAUUUCUUGUUUCUUGGCCUGAAUAGACGAAUCAACCAAUAAAAGACAUGGGGCGUGUAUAUUUUUAAUGACUUGAGACUACCUAACACAACAUGCACGGAUCAGUUCAUUACAUGCAAUAGUAUUAUAAUUAGCAAGUAAAAAUUAAGUUAUCUCCUUUUCUCCUUCAUCUUGAUCGCGGUUGACAAUAUAAAAUGAGUUAUGCACCGGUACUGAGGGAGUAGCAUGAACUUUCAAAGCCAAAAUGAAACAAUUUUCUGGCAGUAACAUGAACUGACACGGCAAGUGAACGAUUAGUGGCCCUUUAGCAACUACUCGUCACUUUCAAACUUGCAAGGACCCCGCAUAUACCAACUGUUCAACGCCCCCUAUUAAUGGGUUUGAAAAAGAUGUUCUACCAGCUGUAGGUUGGCACAUCUGAUGUAACACUUAUGGUACAAGUCUUGGAUAUUUGCUAUUUGAUACAAUAAUUCUAUUCAAAACAUCACUCUCAUGUUGACUGACUUGCUUUAAUAUUUCGUUUCAUUUCCAUCACGGGAAGCUUCUGCCUCGGUGGAUGACAACGCUGUCUGGUCAACGCAUAGGUGGUUGUAGAUUGUUCUGCAUUAGGCUGGUUGUAAUGAUAGUAUCAUAGCUAAUAUCAUGCAUGUCAACUAGGCAAUUUUGAUGAGGUGACAUAGAAUUAAAUGAAGAAAGAGAGAAUUGAGUAUCAUAUCAUGAAAAAUGCUAUGCUACUAUGUGUCAUGCAUGACAAUAAAUAAAGUACUACAUGAUACUAAUAUAUGAUACUAAGCAUUAGGAUGUAGUAUCAUACACUAGCAUCAUAUGCAUGAUACUAGUAUAUGAUACUCCCCAUUAUAAACCAGCCUUAUGCUGGUCGUAAUGGUUGUAUCAUAGCUAGUAUCAUGCAUUGCCAACUAGGCAAUUUUGAUGAGGUGUCGUAGAAUUAAAUGAAGAAAGGGAGGGUUAAGUAUCAUAUCAUGAUACCGUAUCAUAAUAAAUGCUAUACUACUAGUAGGUGUCAUGCAUGGCAAUAAAUAAGGUACUAUAUGAUACUAUGCAUUAGGGAGGUAAUAUCAUACACUAGUAUCAUAUGCAUGAUACUAGUAUAUGAUACUCCCCAUUACAACCAGCCUUAGCCUCGACUGUUUGGUCGGUAUGUCCGAAAUUACUGAUUAAGAAGCAUUCAAGCAUUCUUUUUAAAUGUCACUUCCAUCUUCCUAGGUUACGACAAGUGACACACAUCACAUUGAAUGUGCACCACUUAUAACCUGAAAAUUUUCUUUUGUCAUAGAUCUGUUUAUUUAAAAUGUUUUAUCUCUACAAUUGUGCUUUCAAAUCUCAAAUUGUUUUCUUUGUUGGAUUUCCCGAGUCGAGAUCUUCAAAAUUAGAUCUCACGCUAAUAGGUUUAGACGACCUUUUUUUUCACGAAAAAACCUGACAAAAAAAAAGAACCGGGAGCACUUUUUUUUCUUUUCGAAAGAGGCACAACUGCGCCUCUCACGGAAGCAAAUCUGUGCCUCCACGGAAAGUAAACCCAUGCCUCUCGCAGAAGGAAAAAAAAGGAAAAUGCAUUUUUUUCCGUUUUCGAUAUGCACGCGCGGAAGCAAAUGAGUGCCUCUCGCGGAAGCAAAACCGUGCCUCUCGUGGAAGAAAAAACGCCUUUUUUCGUUUUGGAGAGGCACGGCGGAAGCAAAUUCGUGCCUCUUGCGGAAGCAAAACCGCUCCUCUCGCGGAAGGAAAAAAAAGAAACACGUUUUUCUUUUCGUUUUCGAGAGGCACAGUCGUGUCUCUCAGCAAAUCCUUACCUCUCGUGGAAGCAAUACCAUGCCUUGGAAGAAGCAAAUCACGUUUUUCAAUGCAGUAGUCCAGUCUGUAGUGUAGGGUUUUGGAUUGGAAACUGAGUGCGAAGUUUGGCUCUUCGGCUUGCUUUUGCUGCCAUUUUUUAUUGAUGAAUGGAGCUGCCAUCUUCUGAUUGAGCCAAAAUGUCACCUUAUGUCUAGUGCAUUGGGAGGUUAAAAUGUUUGUGCAGACAGUAGAGUUCAUGCUACGAUGAUCACUGUAUUGUUUGUAUGGAAUUUGCAUUCUGUAAUGGGACUGAAGUUUACCUCUUUGGCUUGCUUUUGCUGUGCCCUAGAGAUGAAUACAGCGCCCUAGAAUAAUACCAGCCUCUUUAUUAACACUUCCAUAUCUGGGGGACAAUGGAGGUUGGGAUACUUGUAUUUUGCUGACAAUAGUUCCCACUUGUUGUGUAGCAAUUUUAGGAUAUUUUUAGGGGCAUUUCAUGAUACAUUGGUAAUGUAGAAUUUGUAGGUGGAUUGUGCAUUUGUAGUUAUUGUAGUACUAGAUCAUAAAAGCGCGCGUUGCCGCGCCCGUGACAUUUUUACAAAAGAAUGGUAGAAAUAUCUAAGAUAACCUAGAAAUUGUACUAUUUGGAACCAUCGCAAUUUAGCUAUAUCUCUAACCAAAGUAUUUAUAAAGUAUAGAGUAAUAUGCAUCUAAUUUAGGGUACAUCAAUAAGUUAUACCGUAGUAUGCCAUGCCACGUAACAGAGCUGGCUACAGGUUAUUAGAAUGAAGCCAUCCAAUUUAACAUGACAUACAACAGUACUUGUGUAAUAAACUCUAAGGAUGAUCCUAAGUAACCAAGGAAUAGUUAAACUGAUUACAAGCAUGCAGGUUGUCAUCAGUUGGCGAUGUCUGUCCGAUACAAGCUGUAGCAGCAGGAAUACCAAACACACAUGUAGAAAGGCUUGAAAAAAAAAUCAAUGCUAAUAGGCAAAUUAAGGUUGCAGCAUGUUUCGCAACAUCAGUGACAGUGAGUAUAUAGAAAUGAGCUGUAAUAGCUUACAUGGCGCUCAAAGCCCCAGCUUAGGAGAACAAAUACAGAAAACUCGUGUUCUAAGGUCAACUAAAUGAAACAAAUUAAGUGCAUUCAUUAGAACUUCAGCACGACCAUUUAUUAAAUGGUCUACCUGUUAGACCAAACAUCCUGAACCUAUGGAAUACAUGUUCUGAAAUAUUGGGGUUCAAUGUAUUUCAUACUUUGUGCAAAGAGGGAAAGGACUACCAAAAGAAAAUGAACACCACACAGGCACACACCAUACUUAUGAGCAUGUAUUCAGUUCUCCAGAUUCAGUUGAAUUGAUGAAAUAAUACCAUGCUAUCAGAAGUACUUGCAGCUACUAAGACAACACGUUAUGCAAGAAAAAGUCAUUCUAUAUAAAUCCGCCAUGUCCAUAGGUAAGGUAGGCAACCGGUCAUUUACCUCUUCUAGUGGUAGUGUGUAUGGACGAAAAAAAUAGGCAUUAUCUUCGAUCUGGAUGCAACUCGAUGUUGCGACUGGCCGCCUAUCUGGGUGGUUACUGCGCCAUUUCUCGCCCUCCACGGUGUUCCUCGAUCCUCGUCAAUCAAGAAGGUCGCGGUUGGGGAGACAGCAGUUGCCAUCGCUGCCACCACCCGCACUCCUGCUAGCCCCAGUUGAUAAACAAGAGAAGGGAUGGGAGGUCAAUGGUGAGACAACGGUGCCACCAUGGCGUUCCCCUGCCGCCCCUCUGCCUUCUCGAUUGGAACAGACGAAGAGAUGAGAGAAAAACACUGAACGGGCCUCGCGUACACAGUCGUAGGCCCGAUUAACGUGUUUCAACAAUUAAGCCCAAUUAACGUCAGAGCGCUCAGGUCACUCUGCAGAGCAGCGGCCUAUUUACCGUGAGGAGCAGGCCUAGUUACGCUAGAUAAUGGACAGAUGAGUACGGUGGGACGACGAAAAAGAAUAAGAGAUCUGGUGCGUUUGGUAACCUAAUCGGGCGGUUAAGGAGUCUAAAUCGCUGUGAGGGCUCCUAACUAGCUCUGUUUUACUGUUUAGUAAUAGCUUGCAGUCUGGUGCUUCCUUAUGAUCCAGCACCAUUCUAAUCCAGUAGGUAGCCCAGAAGAAAUGCGGAGGUCUAAUUUUAGAUUUUCAGAUUAGACCACGUUCAGGCUAUUACUAAACCAACAGUCUGUGUAAUGCUUAUACCCUCUCUGGGUAACUAUUUAAGAUUGGCCUUUGUUGGUGGUUAAAACAUGAGGUGGACUCAUAAUAUAUCAUGUCGCUCUUUUCAAAUAGUCAAAUUUGUUUGUUUGCUGUUCAGGGAAGUUGAUUAUCCUCGCAAACAACUGCCCUCCACUCAGGAAGUCUGAGAUCGAGUACUAUGCUAUGCUGUCCAAGAUCAGCGUUCGUCAUUUCCAUGGAAGUAAGAUUAUUUGAUCAUAAAGUCUGAAACCCUUUCUCAAUGCGUGUUUAAUGUACGCACUUUAGCUUGUUUUUAUCAAAUAAUGAAUUGUGGCCUACUGCUAAUGAAUGUGUCUUUGUCCUUUCAGACAACUAGAUGACCCAUUGCGCCCAUAGCGCAAAAAGCGAGAGCGAGGCGAGUAUUCAAACCAUCCAUGCAUACACAUAUGUAUUGGACUUCAAGAAUAACAGGACUUUAGCUUGUUCAUACUGACAGGAUACAUAUACAUAUGUAGUGGACUUAAACACCAUGUAAAUGGAUACUUAGAUAGCAUCUUUAUACAUAGUAGAUACUUAGAUAGGCGCGGACUUAAACACACAAAUAGCUUGUGCAAACUGAAGAAAUUUUGUUUCACAAGAGGAAGUCAAGGCAGGCAUUGUUACAUGAUGGUGGAUGGAAGGAUGGCACCAAGGUGAACUUGACACAUAGAACAAAAAGAAAAACUGCAUCGGCAUACAAUUCAGGAUGAGCUGCACAAAAUAUUCAAGGACACCACUACAUAGCGGAGAAGCAUGUACGUCCCUACAUGCGGCGCCCCACGGGUCACGUGUUACACUCACGUAUGAAGAAAAAGUCCCACCGCUGAGCGUCAGAUUGUCGAUCGAACUGGACCAUCUCUUGCAAAGGCCGAGCACACGCUCAUGUAGUUUCAGAUGCCAAAAACACAUCCCUCCUCAGGCCCCCCGCCUCUUUCUAUGUCGUUUUCAUCCAUCCUCAUGUGCUUUUUCUUCCUUCCCAAAACACCAAGUCCGUUGCAAACAGCUGCUAGUAGCAAAACACAGGAGGUACUAAGUAGCCAAGAUUACAAAAAUGUUUAGUUGCCAUGUUACAAAAUACCUACUUUUCAGGCUACUUGUUCUUGGUUGUCAGAUUAGGAAGGCUUAGUUACCACUUAGCAGGAUAAAAGGAGUACCUAAUAGACACAAAUUUCAGAACUGCAUUCCCAGAUUAGAACCAUUCUAAGCACUUAGUUACCAGGUUAGGAAAAACCUUAGUUGCCACUUACCAGGAUAUAGAGUACCUAGUUUCCCUUGAUUGGUUUCCAGAUUAGAACUAUGUGAUUGCCAGAUUAGAAUUGCGUAGUUUGCCGUCUCACAGACUACUUAGUUUCCAGAUUUUGGUUGUGCCUCCUAAAAACUACCUACUUCAACAAAAAGGGGGAGCCGCAGAAGAAUAUAUGCCAUGGAUAAAUAGAUCAAAAUGGAUUCUAUGCCCUCACUAUAGCCACCUCGAUACACAUAAAGCUCGGCGUAUUAGCAUCAACUCAUCAUUUUUGUUGGAUAGUAGCAUUUAUUCAUAAGCAACAAGACCAAAACUUAAGCAGGAGAAAGAAAUGGUUUCUUCCAUCAGAUUGUUACUUGAAGAUUAAAAUUUAGGAACUACCACAAGGUGCAAUUAUUUUCUUCCCUAUAUGAUUGGCCAAAUAUAUAUUAUGCAGAAAAGAUACAAAUACUAUUAAGAGCUCUGAGGAGUAAUGGAUAUACUUGUCAGGCCAUCAAUGCACUACUCUUUCUAGAACGAAGAACAAUCAUAUUCAUUCAAGUGCGAUGCAGGCAUUCCAUUUGUAUAAAAAUAAGAAAGACCCUGGAAGAUAUAACAGGGCACGGAUACAUAUUCAAAAACCAAAAGAAAAAAACUGGUGAUAUACUUAACAAAAAGAUGGGAAGCACCCUGCAGAAAUAUUGAGAACCAGCAUCACAAUAACCUGGUCACUACUCUGACAUCAAUAAUCCUAAAGGCAUGGUUGCAUCAUGCACAAUAAUGAUGACAUAAGUAGUUCAAAGUUGGACCUUCCAAAACAUAAUGUCAAAUUCUACUGUCUAUAAUUAGACAUCAAGGCAUCAUAAAGUUAGGCCUGAACUAUAAUUUGUGUGGUUAACGAUGGACAAAGCUCAGUGUAAAGCAAUAUAUGCAUGAGUUGCUCAUCAUGCAUCAUCUUGCUCAGAAAAGCUAGCACAAAAGUAUGAGGAAAAUCCAAAGAAAUCCAUACCAUAUGAAUCACCUAUAGAUGGUAGGCGAUGUAACAGUUGUGCUGCCACAAUAAAAUGGCCAUCACCAAAACUCCCAAGAAAACAUGACCAUAUUGCACAAAAUACAAAGAAUGCAAUGUCAAAUCCUUUGACACAUCAAAACAUAAAAAAACUGACCCGCAGUAGAAACAGUGAGCUAUAAAAAUAAUGGUAACAAUACCAUCACACACAUGUAUAAGUCCACCAUCAUAUGUUUCAAUAACGGUGUAGAGGACAAACAGAGGUCGAGUACAUAGGAAGAACAAAAAAUAUAGCAACUGGCUGUAAAAUAACCUUUUUAGUUGUUUCAACAUGAAGUCCCUGUACAAUUUAAACCAUAAAAUACUAACCUGCAGUAGCAACAAUGAGUUUUCUGUGUAUGCGUAUGCGACCUUUUACUUCUCCUGAUAGCAUGAAAAAAAGGAUCCGCAAAUUUCUCAAUCUGCUUUUAAUUACAACAAUCAGGUCAAACUUAAUGGAUAAGAAUCUAAUAAAUAUACUUGAAUUCUUAAUCGCGCAGCUGCGCCGGAUGGAUGUCGCGAGCGCACACGCAAGCUGUCCGAUGCUUGCGCACCUGCUACGCGACAAAAUUGCUAAGAAAACGGCCUCCUUCCUCCUCGCAGUGUACCUUGCGUGGUCAGGUCAGGUGGUGGAUGGUCACUAAAGAUUAUCUGCAUAAAUGUGCUGAUGUCAUCUCACUUUAUUCUGUCUCAAUUUUUUAAAAGCUAUAACUAUUGAACCGAGUGUCAAAAUGAAAAUCCGUUUUCACCAUUAGGUUUCUCGCGACGAGAUCUUCAAAACUAGAUCUCAUAUGUAUAUGUUUCAAUGAAUUUUUUAAAGCAACUUUGGUUCUAGUCGAGGCAAUUUUAGUACUAAACAGAAGCAACUUCCUUGCACCAUGUGUACUAGUGAAUUUACCUAUCAAGUAUAUCGUAGACAACAUAAAAACCAUGUGGGACAAAUUUUCAUCGUAUGCAGGCAACAGAGCAUCAUUUGUAGGCAACUUUAAAAUUACAUAGAGGCAACCUUCAGCAGUAAAGAAGCAACUUGCGUUCAACAUAUAUUAUGCAUACAUUGUCCUAUUAUCAUCUAUCCAUAUUUUGCACAAGGAGAUAAAUAUUUCUCCCUAUUUGCCAACCAUUGUUAUGAAGUUGCCUGUUAUGAAAAAACCAAGGGCCUUGCCCAGAUGCAUGUCAUUUUUGUUUGAAUUAGUGGGGCAAUUUUUUGCAAUCAAUAGAUUGGCAACUCUGUGAAUUAUGGGGACAAAUAAGUCGCUUGGAUUUGCUAAAAGAGUUGCAUGGUUCGUAAUGCAAUUGCUUGGUUCGGUUUGGGAAGUUGCUUGGUUUUUGCUUGGACAGUUUUGUACGUUGUUUUUUGGUAAUGCAAUUGCUUGGAUUUUCUAGGACAGUUGCUUGGUUUUACUAGGACAGUUGCUUGGUUUUGCUAGGACAGUUGCUUAGAAUAGUUUUGCAUUGUGUUUUGGAAUUACAACUACUUGGAUUCGCUAGGAUACUUGCUUGGAUUUUUAUUAGGGAUAGUUCCUUUGAAUCUUGCUAGAACAGUUGUGUGAAUUUGCUAGGGGGAUAGUUGCGUUGUGAAUUUUUCAAAAGCAACUUCGAUGCUAGAUGAGGCAAUUUUAGUACUAAACAGGAGCAACUUUGAUGCUAGAUGAAUUGCAUUGUGUGUAUUAGUGAAUUCACCUAGUAGCCUAUUAAUAGUUUUGUGCAAUAUUCUAAUAGAUGGUUACCAUGGUUGCUAAAUUGCAUACAUCGAAAACUAAUUUGUAGAUAGUUUAGUUGCCAAUGAUACUAUGGAAGUUGUUUACCGUAGAGUGGAAAGUUGUCUGACAUGGCUUCUAAGUUUCCCGCCUCAGAAAUCAAGUUGCCUAUAUUGCUAUGAAGUUGCCUACAGAUGAUCCCCAACUGCCUAAAAUACUGUGGAAGUUGUCUAUCAAGGGAUAUAAGUUGCCUACAAUGUCGAAAAGUUUUUGUGGGAUCUAAGUUGUCUAUCAUGAUUCCAAAUUAGUAAACUAUGUGGGGAUGAAUGGUAUGAGAGCCUUUUUCUUUCCUUUUCUGGGGUAGUCUGCCCGCCUACGCAAAUGAGUGUGUGUGUGUUGGCUAGCUAGUUCGCGGGUGUUGGCUAGUUGAGAAAGUGGGGAUAGAUGAGAAGUUGCAUAGGGGGUGAUGAGAAUUUCAUAGGGGGUGAUGAGAAUUUCAUGGGGGGUGGAUCAGACAGUUGCCCGCAAAAUUACACAAGUUGUUCAUAACUUUGGCACGAGUUGCCAGCAAAAAUAAUUUGAAUCUCUAUAUAUAAUGAUGGAAAACACAUGAGUUGCUUGUUGAAUACACUGGAGUUGCACAAAAACACCCUAAAAGUUGCUAACUUUUUUUGUGUGAUACUCGAGUGCAUAACGAUCUUAAAGUUACUGUUCUUAUUUUGCCUCUAAUAGCCCCAUCAAUGGUGAACUUAAACUUUUCCACAUGUGGUUGUUUUUUUCUAGAUACCAACUCAGAGUACACAUGAGUUGUCUGGUGAGUGUAUUAUAGUUGUAUAAAUACACCCCAAAAGUUGCUAACUUUUUUUGUGUACCGCUCGAGUGCAUAACAAUCUCAAAGUUUUCUACCACAAUCACCAAAUAUUCUACCAUAACUAGCUUCAUAUCCAAAUUGAUAGUGCUAUAGGAAACUUACUUUUCGAGGUAGCCUAUCCUAAGUUGCCUGCCAUGAUUAGUGAGUAGUCUAACCUUAUCCUAUGUUGCAUAGAAUACCCUUUCGAUAUGGUAAACAACUUAGUUUCAUAUAAUGGCAACUUAGCAACAUUGACAUGCAACUUUUUAAUAUAUUUUAGGCAACUGAAAUAGUAAUGGCAGUCAACUAAGCAUCCCUGAUAGGCAACUUCAUAGUGUUUUUAAGCAAUUUAGAAAAAACAAUGAUAAGCAACUUCAUAAUAUUGUAGUGAACUAAUUACAAAGUUAGACAACUGACCAACAAUGGUAGGUAACUAAUUACCAAUAGCAGGUAACUGGACAUCAAUGGUAGGCCAGUUUCAUAGUAUUGUAGGCAACUGGAUAUCAAUGAUAGCCAACUAAACAUCCAGGGUAGGCAACCGAGCAGUUAUGGUAGCCAAGUUGCGAUAAUGUUAGCAAAAUUCAUUGAUACACGUAGUGCAAUGAAGUUGCUUAUAUGUAGCACUAAAGGUGCCUCAUAUUUUGUGUGAUUUUCUCAUUUUUACACUAACCAACCUAAUAAGUAGUCCUACUAGGAAAAAAUGAAGUUGCCUUCUAUAGCACUAAAGUUGCCUCCAUAGGACCCAAAGUUGCCUCGAAAAAAAAAGUUCGACGAAACCUAACGACAUGAGAUCUAGUUUUGAAGAACUUGUCGCGAGAAACCCAGAUGUGAAAACGAAACUGAAUUUCGACGCUUCAAUCAAAAGUUAUAGUUUUUUAAACUUUUCGAACACCAAAAUGAAUGAACGUGCAGACAAGAUUCCUUUUAUGGUGGGUGACAUCAGACGUGUAGGCUGCUCCUUCCAUAUUUGGAAGAGCGCUCGAUCCCACCAGCGCGCGCUCGGGCGCCCGCUAGCCACGUCCGUAAAUAUAUGAUAUCUUCGUGUGCAAAGAAAGGAUACACAUAUGAUAAGUUAGAAGCACUACAAAAAAAAAGACACAUCCGUGACAUUUUGGGCCGAACGAAUUUUUUUUCUGUCAUACAUAUGACACUUCUAUGACGAUAAUUGUGACAAAACCCGGUAUCAUUAGAUGUGGUGGGCUCCUACUUCUAUGACAAAAAUCAUGACAGAAAAUGGGCUUUUCGUCCUGGGCGGGCCGGAGACGCAGCUGCAUGACAUUCUUUGGGCCGUCCAUGACGGAAAAACCGUGGUAGAAGCGAGGGCGAGGAAAAUUUCGGGGAGUUCCCGGUUACGGUGGGAGGUCCGGGGCCGAGCGAUGCGCGUUUCUCUCAUACACGUACGCGCGUGUGUGCGAGGUGUUGGCUCUAACUGAACCCGAGCGAGGCGUUGGGCUCUAACUGAACCCGAGCGAUUGCAUUGCAGGCUACGCGUUACUGAACCCAAGCGAUCGAUCGAUGGCUGUUAACUGAACCCGAUCGAGCGAUUCCUUCGCUACUGCUGCUAACUGAAGCCGAUCGAUGCUGCCUCUGGGAUGAACAGUGAGCGUUGCGGGGCGGUUUGGAUGAACAGUGAGCGGCGGCGUUGCCUCUGGAUGAACAGGACCCCGUGGUGUGGUGGAGGGCUGGAUGAACAGUAGACGGUGGAGGGGUGCCCGUGGAGGGGUGGUUGAACAGGACCCCGUGGUGUGGAGGGCUGGNNNNNNNNNNNNNNNNNNNNNNNNNNNNNNNNNNNNNNNNNNNNNNNNNNNNNNNNNNNNNNNNNNNNNNNNNNNNNNNNNNNNNNNNNNNNNNNNNNNNNNNNNNNNNNNNNNNNNNNNNNNNNNNNNNNNNNNNNNNNNNNNNNNNNNNNNNNNNNNNNNNNNNNNNNNNNNNNNNNNNNNNNNNNNNNNNNNNNNNNNNNNNNNNNNNNNNNNNNNNNNNNNNNNNNNNNNNNNNNNNNNNNNNNNNNNNNNNNNNNNNNNNNNNNNNNNNNNNNNNNNNNNNNNNNNNNNNNNNNNNNNNNNNNNNNNNNNNNNNNNNNNNNNNNNNNNNNNNNNNNNNNNNNNNNNNNNNNNNNNNNNNNNNNNNNNNNNNNNNNNNNNNNNNNNNNNNNNNNNNNNNNNNNNNNNNNNNNNNNNNNNNNNNNNNNNNNNNNNNNNNNNNNNNNNNNNNNNNNNNNNNNNNNNNNNNNNNNNNNNNNNNNNNNNNNNNNNNNNNNNNNNNNNNNNNNNNNNNNNNNNNNNNNNNNNNNNNNNNNNNNNNNNNNNNNNNNNNNGUCCGUUUCGUCCGUUUUGCGGUCCGCCACACCCCUCCUGAUCAACAGGACCCCCGUUUCGACCGUAGGAGGUCUCUUUCCUCCGUUUUGCGGUACGCCACACCCCUUCCGAUCAACAGGACCCCGUUCCGAACGUAGGAGGUCCGUUUCCUCCGUUGUGCGGUACGCCAGGCCUCGUUUCCAUUGCCUGUUCCGUCCAAGCCCUCCCGAUGAACACGACCACGCAUUCCGUUCCGACCCAGCCGGUUGGCUCCCACGCGUUCCGUUGCCUCCCGAUGAACAUGACGCAUUCCGUUGCCUCCCCACGAACACGACGCAUUCCGUUGCCUCCCCAUGAACACGACGACGACGCUGUUUCUCCGUUCCGACCCAGCCAUGUCAACGAGCCCUCGCCGUACGUAUGCGCGAGUAGGCGUUCGAGACCCCGCUCGUAUGUACACAUACGUGGCCGCAUUUUCUUUCUUGCACCCUGGCCGCUGUACGUACGUGUACAUGCUACGUGCGCGCCUCUACUACGACAUGUGCGCGCCUCUACAUCCACCAGUAUAUAUGUAUGUACACGUUCGCGACCAGAAUGACAACGCUACGUACGCUUUGACCAGGUGGGUCCCGACUGUCAGGCACUUCCUUGUGUGCAAAGAUGUAGCUAGUGGGUCCCAGCAGUCAGGGGGGCGAAUCGUUUUGUUUUUUUUGCCCGGACGCACUUCCUUGCGUGCGAAGGUGUAGCUGGUGGGUCCCAGCAGUCAGGGGGGAAACGUUUUUUCACGAAAUACGGUGGCCCGUCCGGUGGGUCCCCGCUGUCAGGUGAAGGAAUAAUUAUUUUGCGCGUAAUAAGGAGGCACUUCCUUGCUGCGGCCGUGGACCCAGCUGUCAGCGUCUCCACGCACAGUACUCUUCCGAUGGAAGUCGGUCGUUGACCACAUUGACCACGCCGCGCCGAGAGCACCAUGGCGGUGGACGACGGCGAGGCCUAGGAAGGGGACGACACGGAGGCAGGGAAGACUCGACAGUUGUUUCCCACGCAGAGGGGAGUACGACUGUACGAGGGUUUACUGGUUCGUCUGCCGUCGCCGGAGAAUAACAGCAGGUGUGGGUGAGUAGAGGGAUGGCUAGGCCAGCGAUGGGAGUAUGGUGGGGCGGUGAGGCCUGCGCGUCAGCACAGCCGGCCGCGGGGAGGAGGGAGCAGGCAGUCUCGCCGGCGCUUGUUUGAGCGGCUAGAGCAGGAAGAGCAGAGAUUGAAGAAGCACGACGGCCGUUGGAUGGACAUCCAACAGUCAGUGCUUGUGCGUCAACCUUUUUUUAGGAAAGCCUCAAAUCUGUGGAAAACAGCAUACAACCCAUCUGCCAUUAUUUCUAAUAAUUUACAGCCCAUUUGCUAAUUCUUAAGGUUUUUUUUGGAGCCCAUAUUCUUUUUGUUAGCAUUACAGCCCAUAUUGUGGCCACGGUUAAAAACUUAUACGAAAUUUUGCAUAUUUCGGUGCGGUCCGAACUGUUUUUAAUCCCGAAAUUUCGACUCACAUUCAAACUGAUUUUAAAAAUAAAUGUAUAUCAAUAUAAAAUCCAACAAAUUCUCCACGAAUAAAAAUUAAUGUAAUUUAAAAUCUUGAAAUGAAAAAAAAAGUUAUUUGUAACUAAUUGCCGGUUUGAUGUGUUUUAAAAAUGUACAACCCAUCUCUCAUUACCGAUGGGCCAUUUUCUCGGCCAGCCGAAUGAAAGCUCUCCUCGUCUUGAAAGAUUUGCAGCCCAACAGGCCUGACAAAGCGACUUACUUGGCAAAUCACAAAAAAAUUGGGAUGUGGCCGUGGACCCAGCUGUCAGCCUCUCCACGUACAGUACUCUUCCGAUGGAAGUCGUUCCUUGACCACGUUGACCAUGCCGCGCGGAGAGCACCACGGCGGUGGACGACGGCGAGGCCUAGGAAGGGGACUACGCGGAGCCGGGGAAGACGCGCCAGUGGAAGCCCGCGCGGAGAGGAGUACGAGGGUUCACUGGUUCGGCUGCGGUGUGAGGCUGCCGUCGCCGCAGGGCCUGGCCAGCGGUGGGAAUAGUAGGGGGCAGUGAGGCCUCUGCGGCAGCACAGCCGGCCACGGGAGGCAGGAGCAUGCGGCACGACCGGCGCUGCUUUGGGCGGCUGGAGCAAGAAGACCAGAGGUUGAAGAAGCACUACGGCCGUUGGAUGGACAUCGUACGGUCACUUGAGCUAGAAUCAUUCAUAUUGACUAAGUUGACAAAGCCCUUCAUCCCCGUCAACUUAGUAGGCCCACAAGUCAGCCUCCCACCAAGGUGGGUCCCAGCUAGCCGGGGGAGUAUUCAUUUUUUUGUGCGUAAUAAGGAGGCACUUCUGGUGGGUCCGAGCUGACAGCGGGGGGAACGUUUUUUUCGCGAAAUACGGUGGCCUGUCCGGUGGGUCCCAGCAGUCAGGGGGAAACGAUUUUUUUCGCAAAAUACUGGUGGCCCGUCCGAUGGGUCCCCGCUGUCAGGUGGAGGAAUAAUUAUUUUGCGCGUAAUAAGGAGGCACUUCCUUGCGGCCGCCGUGGACCCAGCUGUCAGCCUCUCCACGUACAGUACUCUUCCGAUGGAAGUCGGUCGUUGACCACGUUGACCACGCCGCGCCGAGAGCUCCAGGGCGGUGGACGACGGCGAGGCCUAGGAAGGGGACGACGCGGAGCCGGGGAAGACGCAGCAGUGGAAGCCCGCGCGGAGAGGAGUACGAGGGUUCACUGGUUCGGCUGCGGUGUGAGGCUGCCGUCGCCGCAGAAUAACAGGGGGUGUGGGUGAGUGGAGGGAUGGCCUGGCCAGCGGUGGGAGUAGUAUGGGGGCGGUGAGGCCUCCGCGGCAGCACAGCCAGCCACGAGAGGCAGGAGCAGGCGGCACGACCGGCGCUGCUUUGGGCGGCUGGACCAAGAAGACCAGAGGUUGAAGAAGCACUACGGCCGUUGGAUGGACAUCGUACGGUCACUGAAGCUAGAAUCGUUUAUAUUGACUAAGUUGACAAAGCCCUUGGUACGCUCCAACUUAGUAGGCCCACAGGUCAGCCUCCGAAACGGUGCGCCCCAGAUGUCAGGGGGAGGAACCAUUUUUUGGGCGGCCGAAGCUAAAAAUAUCCGAGAUUGAAGAAGAAGCACGAUAUCCGUUGGAUAGACAUCCAACGGCCACUUCUGCUAGAACCGUGUGUUGACUAUAAUAAGUUGACAAAGCCUUGCAUAUGCGUCAACUUAUUUUUUUAAGGAAGGCGUCACUUAGUAGGCCCACAAGUGUGUGGCAGAGAACUUAUAGCCCAUUUGCGUUUUGUAAGAAUGUACAACCCAUUUUUGAAUUCUAAUGGAAUUUACAACAGCCCAUUUACAGUUUGUUAAAAGUACAGUCCAUUUUCUAGCUAGGACAACGAUUAAUAAUUUCAACCAACCGUUGAAGGCAGAAUUCAAUAAAAUUUCCCACAUUUUGAUGGGAUCCGAAAUAUUUUUAUCCCGAAAUUUCUAGUCAGAUUAAAUAUAAAUUUGUAUUACGUAAAAAUCCAACGAAACAUUGCGCGCGCAACAAUGAAAAUUUAAGAUUUUUAAAAUCCAUAAAUAAUAUUUUAUAAACUAAUUUCGUGUUUGGUGCAUUUUUUAUAGUUACUGCUUAGUUUUUAUAAUUACAUCCCACUUAUUAUUUUUUAAAGCCCAUUUUCCUGUUAAGCCUAAUGCAUCCCUCCUAGGAAAGAUUUGCAGCCCAGCGGGGCUGAGAAUAACAAGUUGACCUUGCCUGGGUAUUCCUCAAAAAGACGUAUAGCUGGGCUAGCCAUUUUCAUCUUGAAAAAAUUAGUAUCUGGGCUGGAUAUCUGGCCUGGACUAGACAGGCCACAGCCCGCCUAGUUAAUACCCUGCUCUCCUCUGAACAACAACGAAAUCAUCGCCAAGAAAAACUCUGCAGUGCUCACGCCUCAAAAACACAAAUACUGCUCGAGCUGCUUGGUCCCAGCUGUCGGCCGCACCUUGUGCAAUUCUCUCGUUUAUAUUGACUACAUAGGUUGACAAUGGUGUGGGACCGUGAUGUCAGGAAACCAGGAGAAAGCAAAAAAAAUAUAGUUGUACAUAAUAAGGAGGCACUUGCGUACGUACGGCUAUGGCCCUAGUGGGUCCCUAGUGUCAUCUAGUCAAAAUAAAGUCAUCUCCUGAAUCCUCAUGUUCGUUGACGAUGUUAACAAUGCUCGGCGCCACGGCGAGCGCAACAACUCGAAGGACAACGGAGAGGGCCUCGCGGGCCCUACAGAUGGUCUGAUACAGCGCCCGCAGCUCAUUCAGGAAGCCAGGAUCAUCGGACACCUAUGAGCACCUUCGAGAAACUGAGACGGCAUGAAACGGUAAGGCCGCGCUUGGGAGCUCUGGUUUAUUUCAAACCUGUAUUAACAUACAAGUGUAAUUUACUCGUCAUCGGAAACAACACGUAAAAUACAGGCGUAAUGAAACUGAGGGCCCGAGGUCUGUAAGUAAAACCGGCGGGUUACGCGUGUAAUUUGAGAGACCAGUGUAUAUUUUACGAGCACUGCUAUAUGGACGACAUUACCAGACGAUACAUGCACGACGUGCGUAUCAUGCCAUCCAAGCUCAACUUUGCAAUCAAACACAAGGCCUGGCAUUACAUAGACAAUAUUCAGAACAAACUCUUAACACAAGAAUAUCUCAGCACAGUAACUAUUUACUUCUAAACUGAACACAGGAAUAGGAAAAAACACUCGACGCUGCUCACAGCAAGGGCGUCCCACUCAAAAAUAUCAAAUGCAUGUCUUCUGACUAACAUCAAUGAGCAAAUUUUGACAAGGUUUUCCAAUUCCAAUAUAUUAAACUAACGUCUUCUUGCUAACAUCAAUGAUUAAACUUUGACAAACUUUUCCCAUUUAAAAUAUGUAUGCCUAUGAUCGUGGAGUCCUGUCGUAGCUUCUUGUACUUGUUUGGGCACUUUUUGCCCAGGGCACUCCAUGUGUUGUUAAAUUGCCAAUGGUCUCUGCAGACUAGUCAUGUCACCGGUGUCUAAUAAUACUCUGUAAAGCUUCUCGGUCAUUCCUUCUGUAAUGUAGCGCAAACAAUGACUGCUUCUUUCUGCAAAGUGGAACGACCAACUGGACCCAGUAAUGCAGCAGUUUGCCUUGGACACAUUGGCUCCUUUUGUGCAGUUCAACUAAAAUCGAAGUCGGAAUAAAACCGAGCUUUAAUUUUGAUAUCCCUGUAAGCAACAAUAGGUAUAAGGGAAACAAUUACUGAUAAAUAACGGUUGAUGACUUGUACUCCCAGAAGAAAAGCAUCUACUGAUCUACUUUAUAUUAAUGGGAAACAAAGCAGGAGAGUAGCAAUUCUCCAUCAGUGUGAUUCAUUCAUAUUGACUGAGACAUUAUCUUAACAAUGCCUUGUUUCAACAUGUAUAAAGAACGACAAAGCAGAAAAGUACCAUUCCUAAAACAAUGCAACUGAUUCAUUUUAACAGAGACAUUAUCUUAACAAUACCUUGGUUAAACAUGUAGAAAGAACUACAAAGCAGGAUAGUACCAUUCCUAACAAGUGUUGCAGUUUUGAACUAAUAUUCAGUAGUUAAUUAAUUCUGAGAGUGGCAUUGCUUAAUUUUACCAGCGGCAUUAGAUUAACGAAAAGCAUAAACAGUUCCAGGGGAGAGUGGGUGCAACAACAAUAUGUGCUUCCAUCUACUUAUAAAGGGGGUGAUGCAGAGUUUGUUGUAACAAGGCAACAAGCAUCAUGUCUGGGUUGGUCCCAUUUUUUUUCACUACUUAAUGGGAAAAGACAACAAUACAAUAGCUUCAAUUCAACAUUUAUUUAAAACAGUACCAAUACAAGUAGCACAACAUCUCAAAGCACACUGCACAAUCAUGUGGAUGAAGGCCUGUACUGACCUUUCAUGAGACCGACAAAGGUAAAAUACGAAUCUCGAUCUCCUUUUGUGCAGUUCCACCAAAAUUAAGCAAAGUCACCGGUGUGACAUUCAAGUUGAACUGCACAAAACACUCUUAAAACAUAUGUGUUUCGAGUAGCGAAGCAAAAUGUCGCAAUAGCAACAAGUUGAAUCGAUAGCCCUGUUUUAAUAGAGGCAAAAAAGGAAACAAUUACUUGCCGAUAAAGGAGGAUGAAACAAACGGUGACAGAAAGAAGCAUCUAACUUAUCUUGGAUGGAAAACAAAGUAGGACAGUAGCAUUUCUAAAACGGUUGCAUUGAUUCAUAUUAACAGAGACAUUCUCUUGAAACAACAUUCGUUAAAAAAUGUAAUUUACUUUUAACAGUGGCAUUGCUUCAAUUUUCCGGCGGCAUUCUUAGAUUAACAACAGCAAAAUAGCUGUAUGGGACAUGCCAGCACCAUGUGCGUCCACACGUAUAAAUGGGUGAUGCAGAGUAUGUAGCCAUGCAACAUAUAUGCGCUGGUCCCAUAUUUGUUCUCUUUGAACCUUCUUCCUAUGUGAGGGCAACAAAUCUAGUCCUGCACAAACUACCCGACCCCCCAUUUUCUUUCCGUUUUCAACAAGGAGAUCGGUUCCUUACAGAUGUGUGACUGGGUUACCCCCUUUUUCCCUUUUCGACCUACAAUGUGGCUGGAUAGCUAGUCUAUACUACUUUCCGCCCCUCCUUUCCUCAUUGAACCACGUCCUAGAUUCUUGUUCCAGCCCACCGCACCCUUCUUUCCUCUUUGAACCAAGACCUAGAUUCGACUAUAGAUCGAAAAAGAUCCACAUGCAGCUAGAGCAACGACGGUUUCAAAGAAACUUAUACCUUAGGGUCGUCGGGAUGUGGCAAGGCGCGCGGCGGGAGGCCGGAUCUGCCGACACUACGUACGGCAGCGAGGAAGAAGGGGUCGGUGGCCCUCCCGCACAUGCGCUGGGUGAAAGAGAACAACGCAGCCGGCAGUGGAUUGCCUCCCUCGCCGAAGGCGAUAGAGUGAACGCUGCACCUCCUCCCCUUCCCGGUGCGACGGGAUACGGACGCCUCCUUCACCAGCUGUGAGGGGGGAGAGAGAGACAAGAGGCCAACGCAGUCUUGUUUAGAUCUGGUGAAGAGAGGGUGAGAGACUGUGAAUAUAGCAAACCCUAGCAAAUGAACGCUGAGCCUCCAGCGUGUAACAUAUAUGUAGUGCGGCGAGCGUGUGGAGAGUGCAAACCCUAGCGAACAAGCGCUGAGGCUCCCGCUUAUAUAUAUAUAUACUACUGUAGUACGAACUGAGCUCCGGUGCCUUCACUACACCUGCUUUUGGCUGUAUGACAGGUGAGCCAGCCACAUUUUGGGCCCACCUGUCAUAAAUCCAAAGGCAGGUGCACUAAGUCAAUGAAGCUGCGUCGAUAUAGUACUCUCGUGUAUACGACUAAUAUAUAGUGGAGUGGUUUUCUUAUUCUCUCCAUAACAAUCGUUUUAAAUUGUGUAAGUACGAAACGAAACUCUUUAUUUAAUGUACAGUGAAGAAAACUAGUACUACUUCCAAUGAACUAACGAUCCACGCCCACGCGUCCUGGUCGCACUUCCUGUCCUUCACAUGUGGUACACUACCCUCCCUUAAGUGAACAACCACACAUGAGCCACAUUAUCGGAAACGUGUGAGAGUGUGUACAAAUAAAGAAUUUUAAUUUCAAUUAUCGGAAAGGUUUGAGAGUAUUACAAAGUUUGACUUCAGUCAAAUCUAAUAUGCGGAGUAAAUAAAAAUGGAGGGCUACUACGUCCAUCCGGGUUUUUAGUCCACACCAUUUUUUAAAUCAAAGUUAAUAGCUGGACAAAUAAAAUUACAGGGGAGCUGGAGACAAAGUUGUGAGAAGGCUUAGAAAUCAAUACAAAACUUAUGCUCUUAGUACCAACGUCGAUCCUUCUUCGAGGAAACAUUUGGUUCAUAGCCAAUUGUGUGAUAAAAUUGCACCAACGUGAAAGACGACUGCGUCUCCAACGCAACUAAGGUGAACUGACGAAGGAUAUCAUCUUUGUGCGUAACAAGCAAAGAGCACUGAUGGAAGACAGGUUGUUUUUCAUUGAAAAUCGAUCAGCUUCACCAGCCGACGCAACCAUGAAGUGCAACCAUGAGCAUCGAUAGGUCAUCGUGGUGAUGCGCCAUCCAUUUGGCAUCAAGUUUGGGUGAGGCACCUAUGAAGUUCGACAAAUCCUCACUGUGGUCUGUUUCUUCUCAGUAAUCAAGCUCGAGGAAGGAAGAACCACGUGGCAGAGGACAGUGAGGCGGAACAACAAUGGCCAUCCAAUUUUGUGCAGUUCCACUAAAAUUGAGGAAGACAUGCCCGUGUAUGGAGACACGCAUCGCUGUUUCCAAAAAUAUAAAAAAGGGUUAGCAACGACAUCUCAAUUGUCAAUAAGAAUUAAUGAAAAGUACACCAACAAACAGAAGCAUCAUAAUUAUCUUGAUGGGAACUAAACCAAGAUACCCGAGAAAAAAAGCAUUUCUUCUAACCAGUGAUAGUACUACCACCAUAUGGACAAUGACCGCACAACCACCAUGUACUUUUUGUCGAAACAACAUGUAUACCUCCACCGAGGCAUAAAUCAGGACAACUUUUCGAGUGGCAUUUCCUCUAUAAUAGUACUAGUAGGUGAUGUUGGACCAGUCGACGAACCCUAGCUACUUUGCAUGGGGAGCUGGGGAGUAGUCGCAUAGAAGAAAACCCGCACGCAGCGACCUGGGGAGCUGGACCAGUACAAGAAGUUAUACCUCAGGUGGGCGAGAUGUCGUUUAGGCGGGCGGGCGGGAUCUGCCCACACGACGGCAGCGAACAAGGGCGGGGAGGAUCUUCGUCCGCGCCAGCGCCGGCUCCGAGAGGACGGUGCGCAUCGGCUUCCUCCGUCGCCGAUGGCGACAACGUCAAUGCUGCACCUCCUCACCUCCCGCAGCGGACGGGAUUUGGCCGGAUCUGUGACCACCGAUGAGGAGAGAGAUAGAGUGGACACUAUCAUCUUGUUUUGAUAUGGAGAGGGUGAGAGAGCGAGACGCGAGAAACUCUAUCAAACAAGAGGCUAUAAUGGAGUAAAAAAAUCUCUCCAUAGCAGUGGUUUUAAAUAGAAUAUGCGCGUUCCCGGAAAAAAGAAACGAAAAACUGGCGGACAAUUUUUCUAACGUACCAAGAAAGAAAACUCGAUCAAAUACACGCCCCCGCUUCCAGGUCGCGAGAGUCGUCGCGCACACACACAUAGACAUAGACAUGCACAUCCAUGUUUAUGUAAAAUUCCAUUUCCAUCUCCAUCUCCAAUCAUAUUUGUCCAACUGGCACAUUAUUUACAUUGUUAAUUAUAUACGCAACAAUAUUAACGUACAACAUCUCUUGUUUGCGCACGUCCGGACCGCUGACACGGCCGGUCCUGACCAACCCGAACCCUCUUCAUCACCCGCGCGUGCUUCCCGCCCGGAACGGUCAGUGCCGCAUUCAUGCCCGGCCAGAGCGGACGCGACCUCUCACUGGCGCCGGCAUUGAAGCGGCGCGCCGGCCGAGAGAGCGUCGCCCGCGCCGCUUCCGGGUGCACGCUGUUGCUCCGCGUUCAAAGGUCGCAAUAGCCGGCUACAACAUGCAUGUAAAAAGUUCUUGGGAGUCCAUGCUACAGCUAGCUGUCCUCCCCCAACUCGUCAAUCUCUUCUAGUAGUGCUAGUACUCCAUGGCGCGAUCCAUCGACAAGCAGGCGAGAAAGUUAUCGUAUACUCGGUUUGCGGUGAGUGGCAUGCCGAGCGACCGUGUGGGGUCGAGCCGUGGAGGAGGGUGAGACACGAACACGACAGACGUGAUUUAAACGUUGGUUUUGCUCGAUGGCGCGAUCCAACGAAAUGAAACGUUGGUUUCUCUCCGUUUCCAUUUUUUCUCCGGAAAAACGGAAACUUUCCACUCCAUUUUCAUUCCUAUUCCAAGGUUGCCCCGUUACAACAUUCCAUCAAAUACAAAGGAAAACUAACACGCAUGCUGAUGCAUCUCAAUGAUUCACAGAUCAUAGCCAAUAUUUACUUCACAACUAAAGAAAAAAGUUGUGAGAGCGUGUACGAAAGAAAAACUACUGAUGGGGUCACUACGACUUAAACCCAAAACCCUAAACAUGAUUUAAUUUCCUGGCCAGGUAGAACCUGUCGAAGGAAAGACGGCUGGCACCCUCGGAUCAUACGAAGCUUUUGUGCAGUUCCACUAAAAUCGACCUGAGCAUCCCUGAUGGCAAAGAUAUUGAAGAAGUGUGAUUAGAAUAAUAGUACUGGCACUAGUUCAUGAGACAUAAACUCAUCACAAGUAGAAGCCGGUAGAAGUAGAGAAAGAUCGACAUGGAGAUGGAGCUACGGCAGUGGAGCAAGCCGGCUCCAAAAGGAAGAUGGACUACCUGGGACGUCGGGCUGUAGCUAGAAGGGCGGUUGGGACGCGGCAUCGGCCCAUACCGCGGUGACCCCCGAUUGGGACGCACCGACUGUGGGUUUUCUCCCUCGCCGAUGUCGACCGCGUCUACGCAAAACAUUGUUCCCUUCCCCCAGCUGCGGGAUCAGGCCCGUCGUUCUAUGCUUGUGAAGAGAGCAGCCUAAGCAAGCAGGCUUGUAGCUUAGGCUCCUGCUAGUGUAUAUAUAGUGGUUUUCUUUUUCUCUCCAUAUCAACCAUUUUAUAUUGCGUACGUGUCUUUCUAGAGUGAAAUGAUGGUUGCUUCUUCCGACUAACUUACUGUGUGAUUUGACUGCUCCUUAGUGGCCCCUACACGUACUCCCCCUACGUGUAUGCAACAGUCACAUGUACACAUGGACGCAAAAACGCGCGCGACGCCCUAAUGCAUGCAUGUCCGAGCACACGACGGAACACACACGGUCACGCUCAAGUGCUCAACCUACGCGUGCAUGCACACACAUACUCAGUGAGGGUGAGCUAGUGACCGUAUAAACACCGGAAAUAUAUAUAUAUAUUGAGCGUUAUUAGCAUAUUAUGAAGUCCACUGACCGUAUUUUUAAACAUAUACAGUGACAGACAGUGUAUUUAUCUCGUUUGAAAUUAAGACAAUAUUAACCGGAGAGGAGGCAGUAUGGACUAGCAUUACUUUGCUGUGUCCCGUCAACUUGCCGAACGAGGAGAAGGUUGCAGGACGGGAGAAGCUUGCGCGCGGUGGCUCGCAGGACAAGGAGAAACUUUUGACUAAUGCAAGCUCUCCCUCGCUCAGGCGGUGGACGUGCAACAGUUAAUUCGGUGUCAGAUUGCCAGAAGCAUACACUAUACUACUAGUGCUAUUAUUGUUCGACUUCCCGAAUAGGCAAACAGCCAAGCGCAAAGUAAACAGGUCAGCAAACCUUGCGGCGCAUCUUCGUGCGAACCGUGCGGCGCAUCUUCGUGCGAACCGUGCGGCGCAUCUUCGUGCGAACCGUGCUUGCUGCACUUUGAAUGUGGCCGAGAGCUGGCUUGAUGAAACACCUCGCUUCCUACUUCUUUUUUUGUAGGGUACCUCACUUCCUAGUGACCAGUGUCUUGGCUGACCGUCCUAAGAAUGCUUAUAUAUAUGAAUAAAGCUCUCUCAUUUACCCGCAAAAAAUAUUAAGCCAUAUUUACCAGAAAGGAGGGAGUAUGGACUAGCACUACUUUUUGGUGUGUCCCGUCAACUCGCAGAACAAGGAGAAGCUUGCAGGACAAGGUGAAGCUCGCUUACGCCUUUUGACUAAUGCAACCUACCCUCGGUGGACAUGCAUCAGUCCAUUCGGUGUCAGAUUGUCAGAGGCAUACACGGUAGUACCCAACAUGCGGAGUACCAUCAUUGUUCGACUUCACGAAGAGGCGAAGAGCCAAGCGCAGUAGUACGAGUAGUACUACUACUAGAACCGCAUGGUGGAGCGUCUGUACUCUUAUUUUUUAUCUCUGAUAAAGUACACGUUUAUUCCGGAGAAGGGCGGAAAAUGGCAGCCCAACAUGUAAUGAAUGAUAUCGAUCAACCAACCAUGCUGGAAUAUAUCUUGGCCUCCGUGCGAGCCCGUCUGUGUGUUCUUGCUCCUCGUCUCUCUCAAGGAACGGCGGGUUGGCUCUUUGCCGUCAAUUGAGAUCGGUUUGCUCACACUCCUGUCCCACAUGUCAGUGAUAUGCCAAGAGGAGGUGCGUUGACCGAUUGGGCAUACACGUACUUGGUUUUGCACCUUCAUACUACUCCUCCCUCCGUCACAGUUUAUAGGGCGCGCUUCAUUAUGAUGCAUUUCUCUCAAUGCAUUUCCACCACUAGAGAGACUUUAGACGCGUUUGGUUUAAUACUCAAUUAAUUAGGGCGUGGUAACCGCAAUCAAGUCCACAAUUUUCUCUCCAUGUACUGUACUACUACGGAGUGGAGUAAGUGCAUGCAUGUGUGUACCCGGGGUGGAAGCACUGCAUGCAUGUGUGUACGCAUUAUUCCCUCUAGUAAUAGACGCCGUGCUAUAACUACCAAUGCUAUUUUUCAGGCCGAUCGCUAGUCGCCUUGGUCCCACAAUUUUUUUUCUUUUGUCUGAAGCGCGCUGUAUAAACAGUGACGGAUGGUGUAGUAUGAGCGGAUUCAAAGAAGAGCGUAUUGAUGGUUGCUUCUUCAGAGCAACUUACAGUGGGAAAGGUGGGGCUUAUGAUUUGACUGCUCAUUACUCACUAUUAAUGCGGCGCAACGACCGGGCUGAGUCUCCCAUGCAGUUGUGCACUACCCCCUCGGUUCUUAAAUAUACUCCGGAGUAUUUGUCUUUCUAGAGAUUUCAAUGAGUGACUACUCAAAUAUUUGUCUUUUUAGAGAUUUCAAAUGGACUGGCACAUACAGAUGUAUAUAGACAUAUUUUAGAGUGUAGAUUCACUCAUUUUGCUCCGUAUGUAGUCACUUGUUGAAAUCUCUAGAAAGACUAAUAGAAUAUUUAGGAACGGAGGGAGUACACAUACGAAGCAAAUGAGUGAAUCUACACUCCAAAAUAUGCCCGUUUGAAAUUUGUAAAAAGACAAAUAUUUGGGAACGAAGGAGUAUAAUUUUGUGCAUGGCACAUGGACCCGGAUGAUGAAGAGGCUUCUGGCAAUGCUAUCAAGCUUCCAUCAUUUGUUUACAUAAUUGACGUACUAUACAAAUAAUUUUCCAGCGACAUGAAAUUGUACAAUGGUGUGAGCUUUCAGCUUUUGUUUCGCGUGUCUUGCCAUCGAUGCUCUUUCGGAAACAAUAAAAAACUAACUUCCUUGCUAAUGCAUGUCAAUUAUUAGCAGAUCAGAGCUAAUAAUUACAUCACAACUGAAGACAGAGUUGUGAGAAGGUGUUAAAUUAAAAUUGAUCCAUGCCUUCAUUGGCAGCAACGUCCCCCCAGCUCUGUCUAAAUCAACAAGGCAUGUUGGGAAAAAAAGUAGCUGUCUGGAGCAUGCAACAUUCCGAUCAUUUUGUGCAGUUCCACUAAAAUAGAGCUGAGCGUCCCUGUUCCAAAGAUAUUAAGUGUGAUUACGAUAAUAGAGGACUGCUGAUGAAACAAUAAACACACAAAUAGAAGCCGGUCACCUUUGCAGUCUCUCUUAAGACUAACUAGUUGGAGAAGAUUAGGCUCGGAGUUGGAUGAGGAGGAUAGAGCAAAACCAAUCUCCCUUUCUGCAGUCGCACUGAAAUGUAGAGACGUUGCCCAUGUGACAUUUUAGUACAACUGCACAAAACACUCUUAAGAAAAAAGUGAUUUGUGCAGUUCACCAAAAGGUCGCAAUAGCAACGAGUAGAAAGGAAACAAUUACUGGCCAAUAACAGUUGAUGACACAUGCGACGACAAAAAAGAAGCAUAUUCCUUGUCCUAAGGGAAGAUAACAACACGGUUGUGUUUGUCUAAAACGGUGUGUGGACGAGAAUGCAAUAUGGAAAGUACGCCGGACGAGCUACGUUUUGGGCAAAGAACUAUGGAAGAUCCACAUGCAGCGACGUGGGAAGACGGGCAGUGGAGCAAGGCCGGAGGAGAUACUUGGAGGUCGUCGGGAUGUAACUAGGUGAGCGGUGGCGGGCGGAAUCUGCGAGCAGGUGGCGUAGGCCCUGCCGCGCCGGAGCUUGGUCAGAGAGAACGGCGUGUACCGUAGAUCGGGACGUGCUGCCUCGGCGCCGUCAAACGGAGAAACGAUGCACUUCCUCCCUUUCCCCCGGCGGACGGGAUGCGGCCGGAUCAGUGACCUACGGUGAGAGAGAGAGAGAGAGAGAGGCCACCGCACUCCCUUUCCCCCGGCGGACGGGAUGCAGCCGGAUCAGUGACCAAUGGUGAGAGAGAGAGAGGCCACCGCACUCCCUUUCCCUCGGCGGACGGGAUGUGGCCGGAUCAGUGACCAACGGUGAGAGAGAGAGAGAGGCCACCGCAGCCUUGUGUGAGAUACUCUGAAGAGCGACAAACCAGGCAGGCAGGCUCCAUUGUAUAUAGUGCGCGGACUACCUUUUUCUCCAUAAAAAUCGUUUUAUAUUCUGUGUACGUGCCAUUGAGCGCUAUAACUUUUUUCAAAAAUAACGCGGCAACGCGUCAAGUCAAACUUUGUUUCGUGCACGCGUGGUACACGACCUCCCUAGGUAAACAACCGCUACAUGCGCUCAAAUUAGCACGUGGGCUGCCAUUUCGUAAAGAAAUGAGCUCCACUAUGUACCCGCGCGGGUGUGGCUGGGCACGAAGCGUGAGUACGUGCACGGUGCACCUAUUCUCUUCUUGUAUACGUACACCACCUACGUGGGGUUGUGUGAGAGAGAUACAAACCUAGAGAGAUAUAGUGUGUGGGUUCUUGAGAUUUUGGGGGGGGGGGUCAAUCAAAAAAUGUAACAUAUGCAAUGUGUGUGAAAUAGAGUCCUGGAUAUAACAUAUAUAUAGAGGGGGUGAUCCACGAGAAGAGAGUGGAGGUAUCAUCGGCUUGAGGUGUCCAUAGAAUUGAAGAGAGGGAUGAUGUGUGUGUGUGUGCGCGCGCGCGAUCGAUAAAGAGUGCCAUCGAAUUUGUGUGUGCCCACGUCAAAGAUAUAGAGUGGCUGGCCUACUGGAACGUGAGAUGGGACAUGUGCAGUUUGUCUCUAUGGCAUGGAUACCUACCUGCAGCGCUCGACUAUCGGUGUGUGGUGGGGGAAGAGGGAGGCCCAAUUAACUAUAGAGGUACAAUGGCUGGUAUAUGUGUGGAGGAGGAGAGAGGCCUACCUCAUGUAUUAAGGAGAUCGAUCUGCCUCAUGUAUUAAGGGAAAUCGAUCGACAACCAUGCAUAUGUGCAGGAGAGGAAUAAGGUUGGGAGAGAGAUAGAGCUAGAGUGUUGGAGGGGGUGGUAGUGGAGUUGCUUCUAACAAAUGGUGGGAUAGGCUUGCUAGACAAAUGGAGGGCACGCCCGCAAUAUCAAUAAGAGAGGAGAUGGCUGCUUGUUGUCUGUGCACGUGCGUGUGAGAGACGGGUCAGGAGGCAUGCACGAAUGAUGAGGGGGGACGAUGUGGCUGUGGUAAGCAGACAUAACUACAUAGGAAGAUCAAUCGCCCUUUGUUAGAGAANNNNNNNNNNNNNNNNNNNNNNNNNNNNNNNNNNNNNNNNNNNNNNNNNNNNNNNNNNNNNNNNNNNNNNNNNNNNNNNNNNNNNNNNNNNNNNNNNNNNNNNNNNNNNNNNNNNNNNNNNNNUUGUUGUCUGUGCACGUGCGUGUGAGAGACGGGUCAGGAGGCAUGCACGAAUGAUGAGGGGGGACGAUGUGGCUGUGGUAAGCAGAUGUAACUACAUAGGAAGAUCAAUCACCCUUUGUUAGAGAAAGGAGAGACAUAACUUGUGAGGUACGUUGAUCGAUGGGGGGGGGGUAGUUAAAGUCGAUCUAGGUAUAUGUUGGGAGAUCGAUCGGUAUACAUGCAUGUGUGUGUUAGAAGCAAAUGAGGCACGAGGAGAAGGAUAGAGAGAGAGGGAUGCAUGUAGGAGGUGGUACGAGAGGCAUACUAUAUCGAGGGGGAGGAGUGUGUGAGUACGAGAACGAUGAAAAGAGUGGUGGGAGUGAGGCAUGGACGGUGACAAGAGACGAGGGGAAGCUUGUGUUUGUGCUAGGCACACCUGGCUAGAGAGGCAUAUCGAUCAAUUUGUGCCGUAAAGAAGGAGCUGGGGGGCCUACACACACCAUGGGUGAACGACCUAAAGUGAAAAGACG